GGAGAGAUGUCUGAGUGGUCUAAGGUAUCAGUCUUGAAAACUGACGUAAGGGAACACCUUACCGUGGGUUCGAAUCCCACCCUCUCCG
rnacentral:tRNA from 1 species